GCCGGGCAUGGUGGCGCAUGCCUGUAAUCCCAGCUACUCGGGAGGCUGAGACAGGAGAAUCGCUUGAACCCGGGAGGUGGAGGUUGCAGUGAACCGAGAUCGCGCCACUGCACUCCAGCCUGGGCAACAAGAGCGAAACUCUGUCUCAU
rnacentral:SRP_RNA from 1 species